ensembl:lncRNA
UUAAAUUAUUAUUUUACUGCAACUAGGAAGCAUUUCACGCAAGUCAAACGCGAUUAUUCGCAUUAUUUGAGUAUUUUGAAUCGACGCACCAGACGCUAAGUUUUUCCCGCUCAAACUGACAGAAGCUGCGCGCGCUCCGGCAGACAGACGGAGGGUUUCUGAGGAGUCUUUCUGAUGAGAUGAUCAUUUGACUAAAGGCACACAAGACAGACAGAAGUCUCUGCGUCUGAGAUGAUCCACGUGAGUUUUCUGCUGCUGGAAAGGUGAAACAUUGACCCCGAGUAGUAAAACGGUCUGCUGCUCAGGACUGAACUGUGAUUGCCAUUAAGUGAUCCAUUAUUUGACAGUAAAUUUGGGCCUGGACUUGAGUGGCCUCGCAUGCCUCUUCAGCCAAUUGUCUGGAAGUUUCUGGACACUACGCUCAUGUUAGACAAAUCCAGUUUAAUCUAAGCUGCAGCAGAGUCAGAUUGUGCAGAGGAUUCAUCUGGUUCCUGUGGUCUUGUCCCAGUGGCCGUCUAGGAGACCAGGUCU